AGCAGCCGCGGUAAUUCCAGCUCCAAUAGCGUAUAUUAAAGUUGUUGCAGUUAAAAGGCUCGUAGUUGAAUUUCGGGGUCAGUAGGUUGGUCGUGCCACCGGUACGUACUGGUCUCACUGAUUCCUCCUUCCUGAUGAGCUGGGGUAAUGCCAUUAAUUUGGUGUUGCAGGGAAUCUGGACUGUUACUUUAGAAAAAUUAGAGUGUUUAAAGCAGGCUAACGCUUGAAUACAUUAGCAUGGAAUAAUGAAAUAGGACGUUCGAUCCUAUUUGUUGGUUUCUAGGAUUGACGUAAUGAUUAAUA
rnacentral:rRNA from 1 species